AUUGAACGCUGGCGGCAGGCCUAACACAUGCAAGUCGAACGCGUGGCGGACGGGUGAGUAAUGUCUGGGAAACUGCCUGAUGGAGGGGGAUAACUACUGGAAACGGUAGCUAAUACCGCAUACCAUCAGAUGUGCCCAGAUGGGAUUAGCUCGUAGGUGAGGGAACGGCUCACCUAGGCGACGCUCCCUAGCUGGUCUGAGAGGAUGACCAGCCACACGUGAACUGAGACACGGUCCAGACUCCUACGGGAGGCAGCAGUGGGUAAUAUUGCACAAUGGGCGAAAGCCUGAUGCAGCCAUGCCGCGUGUAUGAAGAAGGCCUUCGGGUUGUAAAGUACUUUCAGCGGGGAGGCGUUACCCGCAGAAGAAGCACCGGCUAACUCCGUGCCAGCAGCCGCGGUAAUAC
rnacentral:rRNA from 1 species